AGUUUAGAACCUGACAUAAAAAAAAGAAAAAAAAGUUGCUUCACCCUGGUGUUAUGCUACUGAAUUUUAGUGCAAUUACACAAAGAAAAUUAAGGCAAAACUUAAUGAAGAAGAACCAGGUGUACUGCCCUGGUUUUAAAAGAAAUGGGACUAUAGUAGAAGAAAUAGAGCACUCUGGGCAAGAAUAAGGUCAGGGUGACCACAGGAGAUGCUCUGCAUCCCUUUUGUCAAUAUGCGUCUGGGUUUCCAGCUACAAUUUCAGGUUCAUAUUUCAUGGCUGAACACCUCAAAACUUCAACAUACCAAAUCUUGCUGCUGUGGUACAGCUGCACUAAUGGUAUAAGAAUGGUGGGCACUGUACUUCCUCUGUGAAUACAUUGGUUAUCUUGUCCAAGCCCUACUCCAAUGGGGCCACCCAGAGCAGGAUGCCCAGGACCAUGUUCAGAUCACUUUGGAAUAUCUCUAAGGAUGAAGAAUGAGAAUGAACCUGGUAUCUGAUGUCUUCUAUUUUCCUUCUAUAUGUGAUGGUGAAGCCUUAGCACAUACCUGGAAUUGGGAAUAGAUUAUUCCACUUGGGGUUAGGAGGAAGACCUGGCUAGGAAAAUUGAAAUAGUAAAAUCUAAACUACCUUAAAAUCUAGAGACCUACAAAAACCAGCACAACAACAACAAACAAAAAAACCCCAACCAACAAACAGAGACAAAAAGAGAGGAGACAAAAUGAAAUAUUUUCAUCUCUUUCCCAGACAUUAGAAGAGUCAAAUUUCAAGAUUUAGAUCUAUUCAUUUUUUUAUAUUUAUUUGGCCUUAACAAAUAUAAUACUAAACAUGCCAGAAAUAUCUCACAGGUGACUUGUGUAUUUACAAUGGAGAAGUAAAAUCAUUCCCUGCAACCACCUUAAUAUUUUUGAUGGGUGUUAGCCAUUAGAAAACUUUUAAACUGAGUCAUGGGUUUCUCUAGGAACAGAAAAUAUUAAAGAGGUAGGGAGAUGUGGUCAUCUGUGGCUGAUGUACUUGGACUUCUUCAUGAAUGACUGGUAUUGACUCCAAGGCACUCUUUUAAAAUUGUGUUGCUGUUUUAAAAGUUAUUGGGUUUGCAUCUGUUUCAGCAGCUUUACUAACAUUUUGCACUAAACAAUUUGCAAUCAUAAGUUUUUAAGGGAACUAGAAACUAAGCUGUGUUUUGGUUUGGGUUUUUUGGGGGCUUUUUUUUAACUGAAUGUGAUUUUCUAAACUGUUAUCCAUAUUGCAGUAAUUAUUUUAAAAGCUCCCUGAUAUCUGUUUCUCAUUAUGACAAAGUCAAUGAGUGGUGCAUUAAAAAAAUAAAAAGAAGCAACUGUAACAAAUAAGAGUCACUGUUCAAAGAUGUCUGUGAAACUUUGCACUCUGGCUGCCUUUUGCACCGAUCAGACUUUGAAAUCGCUACUUUCCAGAUCACAUUUUCCCAGCUAAGUCCCUGUGAAUAGGCUGAGCAAAAGGUAGUAGCCAGUUUUACCAGGGAGGGUGCAAUGAGGAAAACCAAGGUUAAACUGAAACGAGCUAGAAAACCCCUACAAAUCUUACAUUUUAUAUUUUAACAGACAAAAUGGCCUUGCACAAAAUGAAGACUUAUAAUGGAAAUAGACCCACUACCUCUGAUAUUUUGGUGUGAAAAAAUACAACUCUAAAUCUUGCAUACAGGCCCAGUUAGUAGAUUUUGUGUUUCCCACUGAGUUUUCAGUAGUCACUGAAGAGAAGCAGUAGCUGGAGAGAAGGCAGUUGGAGGGAAGGCCAAGGAAGGAAAACUGUGCACACAGGUGUCUGGGUGAGGACAGAGCUCACAUCGAGACUUGGAACUGAGAAUUGCUCCAAGGCCUGUGACUGUGAGCCUGUGCCUCGUUCAGUUCCUGCUGGAUCUGGGACUUAGCCUGCAAUUUCUGGCUCUUGCAGUACUCUUAUGUUCCUUUUCUAAGCAGUUCUGUGGCUUCCAUCAAAACCAGUGGGUGAACUGCCUUUCCCCUGCUUGUUUCUUGGCUGCAGCAAUUUCCUCUGUGCUUCUGUUUGUUAGACUCUUUAUAGUGACUGUAAUUUUUCCCCUUCAUGCUGACUUAAAUAGUAAAAAUCUCAAAUGAUCGUCUGUUCUCAAUUUUCUUCAGCCAUUUAACUCUUUCUACCCUUGAUAUUGCUUUGCUGCAUCUUUCUUAACAGCUUCUUAGCCCAAAUCCCUGUUCCAGCAGUGCCUGGGCUUAGGACAACAUCCAAGUUUAUGCUGAGAGCUAAAAGCCACAUGGAACUUCCCAUAGUUCACUGAGUCUGACAGCAUAUCAAAAGAAGACACUCAAAGAAAUACACUUGAGUAGUCUUUUGCCACAGAACAUUGGACCAAGUUCAAAGAUACUUCUUCAAAUAAAUAUGGUGUUUUAGUUCAGCCCUUAAUGGGAAUUGAUGGACAUCUGCAGAGAACAUCUUUCUUUGCUGAGGUGGAACCAGCCCAAAAAGGGUGACAGCAUUUUGAUGAAAAGCUGAGAUGCUGUGGUAAAGCAGAAGUUCCUAAGAAAAAGAAUUUCAGGUCUCGAAGUGAUGUAUGGAGUUUAUGUCUCCAGUGAGGGGCCAGGUUCAGAUUUCUCUGAAGGGUUGACUUCAGUGGUUUUCCUGGUUUUACCUGUGAUAAUUUUUUUCUUGGUGGCUGGUUGGAAGAACAAAACAUGGCUGCCCAUUUCUAAGCUCACCACAUGCAGGCAUGAAGCUUCUACAGAUCUCAUGAGGAAUGGGGAAAAAAAUUUCUUUGGUGCCGUGAGAAUAAGACAAACUGACUACUGGUGCAGUGGUACUUGACUGGGUCUCAGAGGGCCUAAUGUCUGAGCAGACUCAUAGAGCUGCAAAAUCUCUGUUGCCUUGUUUCCCCACUACCACCUUUAGGAAACACAGUUGUAUAUAUAAACCUCUACUAGCAAGAAAGAAAGGAACAUGGAUGGAAUUUUCCUCCUGAAUCUAAAUGGCAUGUGCAUGGAAGCAUGAGAUUUGCUUAAGCUGGUAUAGUUUUUAACUUAUCAGCUCACUGUAACAGAUUUCUCAUACUGUAUUAAGAACACAAAAAUCCUUGAAAGAUAUAGUCUAUUUAUGUAUUAUUCACUUUGCCUUCUUCCUUCGCAUUGCAGCCUCUGGGAAUCCUAGAGUUGAUUUCUUCUUGCAAUGAUGAGGAGAGGCACUGCGUAGGGAGAUAAACACACCUGAACCGGUGUGCAGAGUCCAGAACUGGCCAUGCCUGAUGAGAGUGCCUGGAGAAACACUGUCUGUCUGCUCCAGUGGAAACACCUGAGCACAACGAGGUGGCCAAGGGUGGAAAGGGCAUUGGUCAUCUCUGCAGACAGUACUGGGGUAAAUCUCAAGCACAGUGUACAGAGGCUUUUAUUAUUAAGCAGUAAAGCACUUUGAUAAUACAGAGAUAUACAGAUAAUACAAAGAAGUGAAUUAUGCUAAUUUGAAUAUUCUUUCCGUGCUCAAUUGACGAUCUUUAACAUUGUGUUCCAGUUCACUAAUAAAUGCUGUUUCUGCAUUUCUGAAGACCA